rnacentral:rRNA from 1 species
GAUGAACGCUGGCGGCGUGCCUAAUACAUGCAAGUCGAGCGAACGGACGAGAAGCUUGCUCCUCUGAUGUUAGCGGCGGACGGGUGAGUAACACGUGGAUAACCUACCUAUAAGACUGGGAUAAUUUCGGGAAACCGGAGCUACUACCGGAUAAUAUUUUGAACCGCAUGGUUCAAAAGUGAAAGACGGUCUUGCUGUCACUUAUAGAUGGAUCCGCGCUGCAUUAGCUAGUUGGUAAGGUAACGGCUUACCAAGGCAACGAUGCAUAGCCGACCUGAGAGGAUGAUCAGCCACACUGGAACUGAGACACGGUCCAGACUCCUACGGGAGGCAGCAGUGGGGAAUCUUCCGCAAUGGGCGAAAGCCUGACCGAGCAACACCGCGUGAGUGAUGAAGGUCUUCGGAUCGUAAAACUCUGUUGUUAGGAAAGAACAUAUGUGUAAUUAACUGUGCACAUCUUGACGGUACCUAAACAGAAAGCCACGGCUAACUUCGUG